rnacentral:pre_miRNA from 1 species
AGUUAACAAUUCCAUCUAUUUGUGUUGUUAAAAACUGACAAGACUAACGAAAUAACCAUGUAAUAAUAUGUGUUGUACCACAUGUAUCUAAUGCAUAGGAAUCAAAUUUUAACAAUAAAAAUAGAUGGAAUUUUUAACA